GAUGAAGAACGCAGCGAAAUGCGAUAAGUAAUGUGAAUUGCAGGAUUCAGUGAAUCAUCGAAUCUUUGAACGCACAUUGCGCCCCCUGGUAUUCCGGGGGGCAUGCCUGUCCGAGCGUCAUUACAACCCUCAAGCUCAGCUUGGUGUUGGGCCCCGCCGCCCCGGCGGGCCCUAAAGUCAGUGGCGGUGCCGUCCGGCUCCGAGCGUAGUAAUUCUUCUCGCUCUGGAGGUCCGGUCGUGUGCUCGCCAGCAACCCCCAAUUUUUUUCAGGUUGACCUCGGAUCAGGUAGGGAUACCCGCUGAACUUAAGCAUAUCAAUAAGCGGAGGA
rnacentral:misc_RNA from 1 species